rnacentral:rRNA from 1 species
UUAAGCCAUGCGAGUUAAUGUUCUUCGUGAACAUAGCAGACUGCUCAGUAACACGUGGAUAACCUGCCCUUAGGACUGGCAUAACCCCGGGAAACUGGGGAUAAUUCCGGAUAGAUCAUAAAUGCUGGAAUGCUUUAUGAUUGAAAGGUUUCGACCGCCUUAGGAUGGAUCUGCGGCCUAUCAGGUUGUAGUGGGUGUAAUGUACCUACUAGCCUACGACGGGUACGGGUUGUGGAAGCAAGAGCCCGGAGAUGGAUUCUGAGACAUGAAUCCGGGCCCUACGGGGCGCAGCAGGCGCGAAAACUUUACAAUGCGGGAAACCGUGAUAAGGGAACACUGAGUGCUAGCAUUUAUGUUAGCUGUCCACAUGUGUAAAUAGCAUGUGAUAGCAAGGGCUGGGCAAGACCGGUGCCAGCCGCCGCGGUAACACCGGCAGCCCGAGUGGUGAUCACUAUUAUUGGGCCUAAAGGGUCCGUAGCCGGUUUAAUCAGUCUUCUGGGAAAUCUAAUCGCUUAACUAUUAGGCUUCCAGGGGAUACUGUUAGACUUGGGACCGGGAGAGGUAAGAGGUACUGCAGGGGUAGGAGUGAAAUCUUGUAAUCCCUGUGAGACCACCAGUGGCGAAGGCGUCUUACCAGGACGGGUCCGACGGUGAGGGACGAAAGCUGGGGGCACGAACCGGAUUAGAUACCCGGGUAGUCCCAGCUGUAAACGAUGCUCGUUAG